GUCCUAGCCCUAAACGAUGGAUACUUGCUGUGAGGGGGAUUGAAGCCCCUUGUGGCGAAGCUAACGCAUUAAGUAUCCCGCCUGGGGGAGUACGGUCGCAAGGCUGAAAACUCAAAAGGAAUUGACGGGGGCCCGCACAAGCGGUGGAGUAUGUGGUUUAAUUCGACGCAACGCGAAGAACCUUACCUGGGCUCGAACGGCUAGUGACAGGAGAUGAAAGUUUCUUUUCCCGCAAGGGACACUAGUCGAGGUGCUGCAUGGCUGUCGU
rnacentral:rRNA from 1 species